CGUAGGUGGCAAGCGUUGUCCGGAUUUAUUGGGUUUAAAGGGUGCGUAGGCGGCCUUAUAAGUCAGUGCUGAAAUAUCCCGGCUUAACCGGGAGGGUGGCAUUGAUACUGUAGGGGCUUGAGUAGAGUUGAGGUUGGCGGAAUUGACGGUGUAGCGGUGAAAUGCUUAGAUAUCGUCAAGAACACCGAUAGUGAAGACAGCUAACUAAGCUCUAACUGACGCUGAGGCACGAAAGUGUGGGGAUCAAACAGGAUU
rnacentral:rRNA from 1 species